CUGCCAUCUGCCAAGAUUCCAGUGCUCACUUGCACCCUCUCCUCCCCCACUCCUCAUUCCUGUCUUCCUCUGGGGCAAAGCAGAAAUGAAGAGUUGGUAUGGCUUCUAUGGUGCAGAAGACUGACUCCAUGGGAAAAGAAUAAAUACUGUGAGAAUCCACUUAGGUCAUGAAAUAGGAGAAACCAGCGAACAGUGUGCACACAUUAAAUCCAGGACUAGACACACCUGUGAUGGUCUCAUAAAGGAGUCUAAGGAAGAGCAGGUGGGCGGAAUUCUAGGGGACCCCUGAAUUUGGGAGUGGAAAGGCUUACCUCAUCUGGACUCAAGGAAUGUUUUAGACAAGACCAUCUCAGACUGCAGCUGGUGGAACUAUCCAUUUUGAGGGAUUCCACAAGAGAUUAGUCAUUAACAACGGAGCAUCUACAUGUUCAAAAUUUUUACUUUUUCAAAUAAAUUCAUGGCUCUUCCGACAUGACACCAAUUCUUUAUUCUGCUGAAAUUAUCUCAGGAUGUCAUCUUUUGCAUGUGUUGAGAUGGGCACCAAAGCUAAGAAGUUAGGCUGCACUGUAUUCAUGAUCCUCUUAGGCACCCUCUGAAGACACCCUUAACCUUCAAACAUUAAAUAUCAAUUAUUAAAAAGCAAACAUUGUGCUUCAUAA